rnacentral:rRNA from 1 species
AGUGAACGCUGGCGGUAGGCCUAACACAUGCAAGUCGAACGGCAGCACAGUAAGAGCUUGCUCUUACUGGUGGCGAGUGGCGGACGGGUGAGGAAUACAUCGGAAUCUACUUUUUCGUGGGGGAUAACGUAGGGACACUUACGCUAAUACCGCAUACGACCUACGGGUGAAAGCAGGGGAUCUUCGGACCUUGCGCGAUUGAAUGAGCCGAUGUCGGAUUAGCUAGUUGGCGGGGUAAAGGCCCACCAAGGCGACGAUCCGUAGCUGGUCUGAGAGGAUGAUCAGCCACACUGGAACUGAGACACGGUCCAGACUCCUACGGGAGGCAGCAGUGGGGAAUAUUGGACAAUGGGCGAAAGCCUGAUCCAGCCAUACCGCGUGGGUGAAGAAGGCCUUCGGGUUGUAAAGCCCUUUUGUUGGGAAAGAAAAGCAGCAGGUUAAUACCCCGCUGUUCUGACGGUACCCAAAGAAUAAGCACCGGCUAACUUCGUG